CAAAAACAUGUCUUUUUGAUUAUAAUUUAAAGUCUAACCUGCCCAAUGAUUAUUAAUUUAAUGGCCGCGGUAUUUUGACCGUGCUAAGGUAGCAUAAUAAUUAGUUUUUUAAUUGAGAACUAGAAUGAAUGGUUGGACAAAGAAAAUUCUGUCUCAAGUUUAAUUUAAUUAGAAUUUUAUUUUUAAGUAAAAAAGCUUAAAUAAGUUUAAAAGACGAGAAGACCCUAUAGAGUUUAAUAUUAUUUAUUAUACAUAAUUUUAGGAAUUAUAAAUUUGAUAUAUUAAAUAUUAUUUUGUUGGGGUGACUAAAAAAUUAAAUAAACUUUUUUUAUCUAAGUUCAUUAAUUGAUGAUUAUGUGAUCCAUUAUUUAUGAUUAUAAGAUUAAAUUACCUUAGGGAUAACAGCGUAAUUUUUUUUAAGAGUUCAUAUCGAAAAAAAAGAUUGCGACCUCGAU
rnacentral:rRNA from 1 species